rnacentral:rRNA from 1 species
AUGGGGCCAGGUGACGCUGCGGUCCAUGGCCAUCUCGGUGGUCCUCGGCACCAUGUUCGGCUUCGUCGGCCUGCGCAUCAUGAUGAAGGCCGGCAUCAUACAGGCGCUCAACCUGCCCAUCAACGUCCUCAGCUUCUUCUUCCUCAAGUGGCUCAUCAACCUCCAGCGGCCGCGGGGUUCACCACGUUGCCCUUCUCGCGCCAGGAGAACGUCCUGAUCCUCACCACCGUCACCACCUGCCUUAACACAUCAAUAUGCGGUGGCUUUGCAAAUUAUAUAGUUGGAAUGACUUCUGGUGUAGCCAAAUCACUGGGAGAAAAUCCAGAUCCAAGAGAUAUUGUUGACCAUAUACCGACUGGACGAUGGAUGUUGUUCCUUUUCCUGAUUGGUAUGGUGGGAGUGACAGCUAGCGUGCCACUGAACCAGGUGGCCGCCUCCUCUGUUGCUUGA